AUGCUUUCUCCCCAUCCAACUUUAAGAGAACUUGAUCUCCUGGGUUUAAGCAAGGAAGCGUACGGACAGAAUGUCUUUUGUCAAAGAAGUGCUUGUAAGCUGCUUUAGCCUUUUUGUCCUUUUGCAAUACCUGCUCAAAGCUGAUAUGGCGUGGACGCAAAGUCUUCUCAAGGACAGGCAGUGUAGUGCGAAUUUGUCGUCCCAACAUCAGCUGAGCCGGGCUUGCACCAGUGGCAGUGAUUGGAGUGGCUCUGUAACUCAAAAGUGCCAAUUGAGGGUCAGGUUGACGUAAGAUAUGUUUCGCUGUCUUAACAGCCCGCUCAACAGCCCCAUUUGAUUGUGGGAAGUGGGGGCUGCUAGUAACAUGUUGGAUGCCCCAGCUCGUACAAAAGUCUGCAAAGUCCAUACUGCUGAACUGGGUACCAUUAUCUGAGUGCAACUCACGCGAAUCCCCCAUCUAAUGAACAUCCCUUUUAGCGUAGUGAUCACGCUGCGGCUGCUAGUGAGGCUUAAAUGUGCAAUUUCAAUGUCUCUAGAAUAGUAAUCCACGACCACUAAAUAGUUCUUUCCACCAUAUUCACACAGAUCCGCUCCUAUGGUGUGCCAAGGACUGGGAGGAAGUGGAGUGGUAAUGAGGGGCUCUUUCCUCUGAUCCUAGGUGACCCUCAUGCAAUCGAACAAGAAUCUCUCGCCGUUGUGCAGUAGGAAUUACAAUCCUGUCACCAUGUAAAAGCAGUCCAUCGGCCCUGGACAAUGAUGCCCGUUCUGCAUGGUAAGCCUUAAGCUCCGACGGCACAUGGUGUGGCCAGCCAUCAUUAACGAAACGCAUUACUUCCCUCAUCAUAGGGUCUGUGGAUGUGGCUUCACGAAUGGCGUCCAGCUUUGCCUCUGAUAUAGGCUUAGCCUGAAUCACAGCCUCCACAUAAGCACGCACAGCUACUUCAGUAUCAGAAACUCCUGUCCCAGUUAAGGGGUUGCGCGACAGCGCAUCGGCCACGACUAGUGACUUGCCUGGGACAUGUACUGCUUUAACAUUGAA
ensembl:lncRNA